rnacentral:tRNA from 1 species
AAGCUUAUAGUUUAAUGGUAGAACGUCCCGCUCAUAACGGUUUUGUUGUAGGUUCGAAUCCUACUGAGCUUA